rnacentral:lncRNA from 1 species
ACGCGCGCGCCUCCCUUGCUCCGCAGCGCUCACGCUCGCGCGCAAUUCCCUCUCGCCGGCUAGCCUUCAGCCGCCGACGUCUCGGCCCCUCAGAAAGCCGGUCGCGCCAUGUCUUCGCCUCCCGCGGGAAAGCUAGAGACGAAAGCAGGACACCCGCCCGCCGUGAAAGCUGGUGGGAUGCGAAUUGUGCAGAAACAUCCGCACUCUGGAGAUGCCAAGGAAGAGAAGGACAAGGACGACCAGGAGUGGGAAAGCCCCAGGUGGGAGAGCUGUGUGGGGCCCUGUGCUGUGUGCUUUUCUUUUCCUGGUCAGUGAGGUGGGGGUUCUGUUCCCAGGAGGGGAAAGAUACAGCAUCUAGGACAUGCCCCCCGCCCUGACUGAAUCUGAGCAGAUGCAUCAGUCUGGGCAGAAGCCUCGGUAUUGCCAUCACCCACAGACCUUCGGAAAUGCCCUGUCUGUCUAAUCUUGGGGCUGAGCCUGGCAUUCUGUGCAUCAGGGCAGAGAACUACUGAUUGAAAGAAUGUUCACAAGCAUUAGGGCUUUGCCAGUCUCAGCCGAACCUAGAACCACUGAGGCCAUGGUGUCGAGGUCACACAGAGUGAGCAAGUGUCCUGAAAUGACCUCUCUGCCCCCAGCUUCCUGGGUCCCCAUAGCAUGUCUCCUGCAACACCACCAUCUCCGUUUUUACCUACCUCGGAGGUUCUGAUGUCAAGUUUGGUCCAAGGACAUCGAUUCAAGUCCAUUCCCUCCCACCUCAUAAUAUACAAACAUGCGGUCCCAGGGUCCACCCAGCCCCAAGCUUGGCCAUGUAGAGGGAAAACGGACGCUAAACCUUCCACCUUAGAACUCACCCCCACGAGUCUCUGGCAGACUCGUGGAAAACAGCCAGCUUGUGUUUCUGUAUUCAUUCCAAUGGUCCUGAAUCACGAGUGGAACAUCCCCAGGUUGACACAGGGAGACUGAAGGGCACGUUUCAGUUUUGCCUUGUCAAACAGGAGUUUAAAACCAAGUCUGGGGUCCAGAGCAGGCCUGGCUUCCAGAAGAGAGUAGUUCCUGGCUGCAGGCACCCCCUAGGAAGGACCCCACAUUGCUUUUACCUAUGUGCUGCACCCUUGCAUGUUUUUGUAAAACCUCAUGUGGGAUGACUUACAGGGCUGUCCCUUGACUGGAGGACAGAUGUACAACAAAGUUUCUGAGUGAUUAUUGCCCAUUUUAACUCCGGUUCUCAGCAGCUUGAAGGUUCGGCCCAAGUUCUGGUUUUAUAAAAGAAGAAGGCAGUUGAAGGAAAAUUCGAGGAUUGUCUUUCUUACCGGCUCUUCACAAAGCUGUGUUUGGUCCCUAACAGUGUCAGGCAUUCUUCUACAGGUUUACAUCCUGUGUUUGGAAACCUCUGGGCCUCAUAGCAGAAUCUAGAAAUUCCGAUGUUUUAGGAGAGUAAGGAGGAUCUAAGAGAAUAGACUGUCCACAUUCCAGGCAGCACCCAAAGGGGGUUGCAGGCAGCCCCUUGUAAUCUGCAAAUGGUGUUCACAGCAGCAGAAAUGCAUUUUAAAAACUUUCAGGAGUUCCUGUCUUGGCUCAGAGGAAACAAAUCUGGACUAGCACCCAUGAUCACGCAAGUUCCAUCCCUGGCCUUGCUCUUGAGCUGUGGUGGACUCGGCUCAGAUCUCGUGUUGCUGUGGCUGUGGUGUAGACCAGCAGCUGCAGCUCCGAUUCAACCUCUAGUCUGGGAACCUCCAUAUGCUAUGGGUACAGCCCUAAAAAGACAAAACAAAAGUCAGAUUUGGAUCAGUUCAGGUUAAGUUUUGCCUGCAUCAGAGUUACAUUAGAACUUUAAGUGUUUAACCCGUUUCUGGAUGUGGAGCUGAGGAGAAGAACCUGUGGCCUGUUGUCAUUUCUCCCCCAGAAGACCUGCAAUGUCGUUUCCCUUCAUUUCCACCAGUUCCCUUAGAAGGAAGAAAGACGAUGAGGCAGAAAGCUGUGCCUAGAGAAAAAAGAAAAUCCUGGCACAUUAAUGAGACAUGCCUCUCUGUGUGAGUUUAAGUGGAAUAAGGGACAAAUAGCUAUUUCCCUGUGUAUCACAGUGUCAAUAUGGUGACAGAGGGUAAUUCAUUAGCGUGUUUAGAAAUAGGGACAGAACAGCCCAUUAGUUUUCUUUCUAUUGAUUUUUUUCCUCACGAGGUGAAAUACAGCGUUUAUUGAAGUUGUGCAAUUUAAAUAAAUAUGCCAGAGGAUGAAUUAUUGCUAGAGAGAGGAGGGAGCUCCCAGCACUCCAGGUUUUAGCAUCUCAUCCACCGUAAAGGUUUGGUUGCUCCGGAAUUAAGUAUUUUGAAGCAAGCUGACCACAGGGCAGGGUUUGCCCAUGAGCAAGGAUACAUUUGUUCCCUGCGGUCAAAUCGUUAUACUGGGUUUCUUGUGUGUUAGCUCUUGUCCUCUGGACUUUGGCUUCUCUCUUUACUGCUGUGGGUACAACCACCGACACACUGUUGACAGAUGGGGUAAGCCUCUGUGCGCGUUCAAGCUGUCAGCAUAUGCUGCUAGUACAACUCCCUCCGAACCCCUGCACCAGACCUGGUACCCCGUGUAGUAGUUCACUUCCAUCACCGGGCACUCCCCAGUUUUCUGGUGGGCUAAUAGAAUAAUCAUAGUUAAUAAUUAUCAUUGAUGAUGUUACAGAGUGCCACGUGCCUGGCCCACUUCCAAGUGCUCCGCCUGUAUUGAUUCAUUCAAUCCCUGCAACUACUCUAUUCUCAUCCCAAUUUGAGAGUCGGUUAUUGAUUAUUAUCCUCAUUCCAGAUUACUCCCACUUCCACAGCUCAGGUUAAUGACUUUUCCAAGGGCAGACAGCCAAUGAGUGGCAGAGCCAGCCUUCCAGACUGGGUCUGGAGUGCCCACUUGUAGGCCCUGGGAUGGGUAUACCAACUGAGCACCUGUUUGUGCUUGGCAUUUAAGUGCUUCACAUCGGGUUUCAUGCUUAUACCACCUAAAAGUUGGUAUUACUCCCCCCAUUUACAUAGCUGAAGAAACCAAGGCUCAGUGAGGUUGUCUGGCCCAAUGAUGUGUAGCCAGGGAGUGGCCUGGCCAGGAUUCAGCCCUGACUCUGUCUUGACUUGGAAGCCUGCAGCACCCCACUGAAUUGACAAAAUAUUUUUAGGAUCAACAUAGACUGUAAAUCUGGAUCCCUCUAGACAAUAAACUUACUGAUUCUGGGGUUGCCCAGAACGUUUUCCAUAUUCCUCAAGCCUAUAAUCCUCUCCAUGCAGCUCACAGUCAGAAAAUGGCCUAAUUAUAAGCUUCCAACAAGGUGUCAGGGCACUGGGCUGGCUUUCCUUUACAUGUGGAAAGGGCUCUUUAUUUCCAGAAUUUGUCAAACAUUUAAUAUUUUACAUUAAUUUCCCUUGGAAAUGUUAUGGUGCGUGACUUUCACAUUACGCUAAUCCUGAAGUUUUAUAUAUUUUCAUGUUUUGAUCCAAGUGUUCUCCAAAUAUGAAAAUAAACACAUUGUUUCAGAUGCCAGUUUCCUUUUCAGAUCUGCACUUGCAAAACUCUUUGCUUUCCUUGCCAGAUAUUUAAAAUCGGCUUUACAUUUACUGACUCAUCUCUAGUGGCUUCCUUCCCCAAUCAGAAAAUCAAGCACUGGAGUUCCUGUCGUGGCGCAGUGGUUAACAAAUCUGACUAGGAACCAUGAGGUUGCAGGUUUGAUCCCUUGCCUUGCUCAGUGGGUUAAGGAUCUGGCAUUGCUGUGAGCUGUGAUGUAGGUCGAAGAGGCGGCUCGGAUCUCGCGUUGUUGUGGCUCUGGCAUAGGCAGGUGGCUACAGCUCCAAUUCGAUCCCUAGCCUGGGAACCUCCAUAUGCCGCAGGAAGCGGCCCUAG